AGGUAAUGAUCUGACUGAACUUAAAAAUGCUUUCGGGUUGUCUAAUGAGUUCAUAAAAUCCCUUGGGAGAAACUAUAAGGCUAAUGUGAUUAGUGAUGGGAACUUUUCCAGCACAUGUCUACAAGAGACCAAACUAUUAGCCUCAUGCUCCUAUGAGAGUCACACAAAAUGGGGUGAAGAGGUAGGCUUCUUGUACCUAUCUGUGACAGAAGAUGUCUUCACAGGGUACAUGUUACACUGCAAAGGUUGGAUAUCUGUCUACCUAAAUCCACUGAGGCCACAAUUUUUGGGUACUUGGGUCACAAAUUUAAAUGAUCUAUUAAUUCAAGGCACAAGAUGGAGUUCAGGGUUGGUUGAUAUUGGUAUCUCAAGGUUCUUCCCUCUUAGAUAUGCCACAUUGAGAAUGUCUUUUCUUGAAAGCAUAUGCUAUGCAGAAAUUUCACUUUUCCCACUGUUUUAUUCCCUGACUUUAUGGUGUUUUGCUAUUAUCCCUCAGCUUGGUCUGCUGAGCGGCAUCUCUUUGUACCCUGAGGUUUCCAAUUCAUUCUUCCCUAUAUUUGCAACUAUUUUCCUGUCGGCCAUUUCCAAGCAUUUAUACGAGGUCCUCAUUUCUGGGGGAUCAAUCCAAACGUGGAGAAAUGAGCAAAGAAUAUGGAUGAUGAAGUCAGUUUCAAGUCACGUAUAUGGAAGUUUGGAUGCGAUUAUGAAAAAGCUAGGUGUGAGGGAAGCAAGUUUCUUGCCUACCAACAAGGUUGAAGAUGAUGAAAACUCUAGGCUCUA
rnacentral:misc_RNA from 1 species